rnacentral:rRNA from 1 species
UACGUAGGGUGCGAGCGUUAAUCGGAAUUACUGGGCGUAAAGUGUGCGCAGGCGGUUGAGCAAGUCGAGUGUGAAAGCCCCGGGCUUAACUUGGGAAUUGCGCUCGAAACUACUUGACUGGAGUGUGGCAGAGGAAGGUGGAAUUCCACGUGUAGCGGUGAAAUGCGUAGAUAUUGGGAAGAACACCGGUGGCGAAGGCGGCCAUCUGGACCGGAACUGACGCUGAGGCGCGAAAGCCAGGGGAGCGAAUGGG